UCUUGGUCAAUUUAGAGGAAGUAAAAGUCGUAACAAGGUUUCCGUAGGUGAACCUGCGGAAGGAUCAUUACCGAAUCGUCGACACGAGUUGUUGCUGGUCCCCAAACGGGGGCACGUGCACGCUCUGUUCGUACAUCCAUUCACACCUGUGCACCCUAUGUAGUUCUGUGGUUUGGGGGACUCUGUCCUCUCGCCGUGGUUCUAUAUCUUUACACACGCUCUGUAAUAAAGUCUCAUGGAAUGUAUGCAGCGUUUAACGCAAUACAAUACAACUUUCAGCAACGGAUCUCUUGGCUCUCGCAUCGAUGAAGAACGCAGCGAAAUGCGAUAAGUAAUGUGAAUUGCAGAAUUCAGUGAAUCAUCGAAUCUUUGAACGCACCUUGCGCCCUUUGGCUAUUCCGAAGGGCAUGCCUGUUUGAGUAUCAUGAACACCUCAACUCUCAUGGUUCGCCGUGGUGAGCUUGGACUUUGGGGGUCUUGCUGGCCUGCGGUCGGCUCCCUUCAAAUGAAUCAGCUUUCCAGUGUUUGGUGGCAUCACGGGUGUGAUAAAUAUCUACGCUUGUGGUUUCCGCCAGGUAACCUUCAGUGAUGGAGGUUCGCUGGGGCUCAUAAAUGUCUCUCCUCAGCGAAGACAGCAUUGUGAACGUUUGAUCUCAUCUCA
rnacentral:rRNA from 1 species